UGGCGGCGUGCCUAAUACAUGCAAGUCGAGCGGAUCGAUGGGAGCUUGCUCCCUGAGAUCAGCGGCGGACGGGUGAGUAACACGUGGGUAACCUGCCUGUAAGACUGGGAUAACUCCGGGAAACCGGGGCUAAUACCGGAUAAUUUAGUUCCUCGCAUGAGGAACUGUUGAAAGGUGGCUUCUGCUACCACUUACAGAUGGACCCGCGGCGCAUUAGCUAGUUGGUGAGGUAACGGCUCACCAAGGCAACGAUGCGUAGCCGACCUGAGAGGGUGAUCGGCCACACUGGGACUGAGACACGGCCCAGACUCCUACGGGAGGCAGCAGUAGGGAAUCUUCCGCAAUGGACGAAAGUCUGACGGAGCAACGCCGCGUGAGUGAAGAAGGUUUUCGGAUCGUAAAACUCUGUUGUUAGGGAAGAACAAGUGCCGUUCGAAUAGGGCGGCACCUUGACGGACCUA
rnacentral:rRNA from 1 species